GAUGAACGCUGGCGGCGCGCCUAAUACAUGCAAGUCGAGCGAUGAGGCCCCUUCGGGGGUACAUCAGCGGCGAACGGGUGAGUAACACGUAGGUGACCUGCCCCGAAGACGGGGAUAACCACUGGAAACGGUGGCUAAUACCCGAUGUGCUCGGCGAUUCGGUUUGUCGAGUAAAGCUCCGGCGCUUCGGGAUGGACCUGCGGCCUAUCAGCUAGUUGGUAGGGUAACGGCCUACCAAGGCGAAGACGGGUAGGGGGCGUGAGAGCGUGGUCCCCCACACUGGCACUGAGACACGGGCCAGACUCCUACGGGAGGCAGCAGUCGGGGAUAUUGCACAAUCAGCGAAAGCUGGAUGCAGCGACGCCGCGUGGGCGAUGAAGGCCUUCGGGUCGUAAAGCCCUUUUAUGGGGGAAGAGACAAGGACGGUACCCC
rnacentral:rRNA from 1 species